rnacentral:rRNA from 1 species
UAGGGAAUCUUCCACAAUGGACGCAAGUCUGAUGGAGCAACGCCGCGUGAGUGAAGAAGGCUUUCGGGUCGUAAAACUCUGUUAUUGAAGAAGAACGUGUGUGACAGUAACUGGUCAUGCAGUGACGGUAUUCAAUCAGAAAGUCACGGCUAACUACGUGCCAGCAGCCGCGGUAAUACGUAGGUGGCAAGCGUUGUCCGGAUUUAUUGGGCGUAAAGCGAGUGCAGGCGGUCUUUUAAGUCUGAUGUGAAAGCCUUCGGCUUAACCGAAGAAGGGCAUCGGAAACUGGGAGACUUGAGUGCAGAAGAGGAGAGUGGAACUCCAUGUGUAGCGGUGAAAUGCGUAGAUAUAUGGAAGAACACCAGUGGCGAAGGCGGCUCUCUGGUCUGUAACUGACGCUGAGGCUCGAAAGCGUGGGUAGCAAACAGGAUUAGAUACCCUGGUAGUCCACGCCGUAAACGAUGAA